GAUGAACGCUGGCGGCGUGCCUAAUACAUGCAAGUCGAGCGAACGGACGAGAAGCUUGCUUCUCUGAUGUUAGCGGCGGACGGGUGAGUAACACGUGGAUAACCUACCUAUAAGACUGGGAUAACUUCGGGAAACCGGAGCUAAUACCGGAUAAUAUUUUGAACCGCAUGGUUCAAAAGUGAAAGACGGUCUUGCUGUCACUUAUAGAUGGAUCCGCGCUGCAUUAGCUAGUUGGUAAGGUAACGGCUUACCAAGGCAACGAUGCAUAGCCGACCUGAGAGGGUGAUAGGCCACACUGGAACUGAGACACGGUCCAGACUCCUACGGGAGGCAGCAGUAGGGAAUCUUCCGCAAUGGGCGAAAGCCUGACGGAGCAACGCCGCGUGAGUGAUGAAGGUCUUCGGAUCGUAAAACUCUGUUAUUAGGGAAGAACAUAUGUGUAAGUAGCUGUGCACAUCGUGACGGUACCUAAUCAGAAAGCCACGGCUAACUACGUG
rnacentral:rRNA from 1 species